rnacentral:rRNA from 1 species
UACAGAGGUCCCAAGCGUUGUUCGGAUUCAUUGGGCGUAAACGGUGCGUAGGCGGCGCGGUAAGUCGGGUGUGAAAUCUCGGGGCUUAACUCCGAAACUGCAUUCGAUACUGCCGUGCUUGAGGACUGGAGAGGAGACUGGAAUUUACGGUGUAGCGGUGAAAUGCGUAGAUAUCGUAAGGAAGACCAGUGGCGAAGGCGGGUCUCUGGACAGUUCCUGACGCUGAGGCACGAAGGCCAGGGGAGCAAACGGG